UGCCAGCAGCCGCGGUAAUACGAAGGGGGCUAGCGUUGUUCGGAAUUACUGGGCGUAAAGGGCACGUAGGCGGCCUUGCAAGUCAGAUGUGAAAGUCCUGGGCUCAACCUGGGAAGGUCAUUUAAUACUGUAAGGCUCGAGUCCGAGAGGGGGAACUGGAACUACACAAGUAGAGGUGGAAUUCGUAGAUAUGUGUAGGAACACCGGUGGCGAAGGCAAGUUCCUGGCUCGGCACUGACGCUAAGGUGCGAAAGCGUGGGUAGCAAACAGGAUUAGAUA
rnacentral:rRNA from 1 species